rnacentral:rRNA from 1 species
UACGUAGGGUGCGAGCGUUGUCCGAAAUUAUUGGGCGUAAAGAGCUCGUAGGCGGUUUGUCGCGUCUGCUGUGAAAUCCCGAGGCUCAACCUCGGGCCUGCAGUGGGUACGGGCAGACUUGAGUGCGGUAGGGGAGAAUGGAAUUCCUGGUGUAGCGGUGGAAUGCGCAGAUAUCAGGAGGAACACCGAUGGCGAAGGCAGUUCUCUGGGCCGAAACUGACGCUGAGGAGCGAAAGCGUGGGGAGCGAACAGG